UACGGAGGUGGCAAGCGUUGCUCGGAAUCACUGGGCGUAAAGGGCGCGUAGGCGGGGAGGUAAGUCGGGUGUGAAAUCCCUCGGCCCAACUGAGGAACUGCGCCCGAGACUGCUUCUCUUGAGUCCCGGAGAGGAAGAUGGAAUUCCCGGUGUAGCGGUGAAAUGUGUAGAGAUCGGGAGGAACACCGGUGGCGAAGGCGGUCUUCUGGACGGUGACUGACGCUGAGGCGCGAAGCGUGGGGAGCGAACAGG
rnacentral:rRNA from 1 species